ACCUGCUUGCGACCGAGGCCCUCGUCCAUGACUCAGAUGCCAGCAAGGCCCUCGUUGCCCGCGCCCGCGCCACGGGGCAGAGCGAUGCCGGCGCCCGAAAGAACCCCCCGACCCCACCGCAGAAGCUGGAGGAGGUGCUGGUGGUGGUCGGCGGCCGCGUGCUGGAGGAGGGCGAGGAUGAGGACAGGGGGCUGGAGAUGCCGGCUGCCCCCAGGAACUUCGCCUUCUACAACCCCAAAAGCAGGCGAUGGAUGGCUCUGCCCUGCUUCCCUGAUUACAACAAACGGGGCUUUUCCCUGGUGGCUCUGAACAACGAU